rnacentral:rRNA from 1 species
UAGGGAAUCUUCCGCAAUGGGCGAAAGCCUGACGGAGCAACGCCGCGUGUGUGAUGAAGGUCUUCGGAUCGUAAAACUCUGUUAUUAGGGAAGAACAAAUGUGUAAGUAACUAUGCACGUCUUGACGGUACCUAAUCAGAAAGCCACGGCUAACUACGUGCCAGCAGCCGCGGUAAUACGUAGGUGGCAAGCGUUAUCCGGAAUUAUUGGGCGUAAAGCGCGCGUAGGCGGUUUUUUAAGUCUGAUGUGAAAGCCCACGGCUCAACCGUGGAGGGUCAUUGGAAACUGGAAAACUCGAGUGCAGAAGAGGAAAGUGGGAUUCCAUGUGUAGCGAUGAAAAGCGAAGAGAUAUGGAGGAACACCAGUGGCGAAGGCGACUUUCUGGUCUGUAACUGACGCUGAUGUGCGAAAGCGUGGGGAUCAAACAGG